UCUAGUGGAAGUACCUAUGCAGAUAAUGCCAAUCCCGAUCAGGUGGGUGUCACUCUUACUUCUUUAACAAAUGCUCGGACCCAAGGUGUUGAGGGAGAAGAAAAUGUAACUAAAGAGAUAGUCCCAGAAACCAUUUCCAUAAAUUCAUUUAAAACGAAACCAGAAAAAGAAAGUUUAUAAUAAAACAAAAGAAAAUGUAUACCUAACAACAUCUGCAAAGUGAGGAAAUAAAUUGGAAUUAUGUAACAGAGAAUAUAGUGAUUGUCAAGAAGUUUAUUGAAUCAAAAAUUAAAAAAAUGUUAAAAUAAUUGUUAAAUUCAAGACUUCAUAUAUAAAUGCCAUUUAUAAUUUAUUUAAAGUAUAAAUUAAUGUUACAAAGCUAAUUUAGAAACCUACUUCUCAUCAUUUUUAAAUCCUAAUGAUUUAAAAAUAGUGUUAUAUUACAGUUAAGAUUAUAUGUGGUUGUUUAAUUACAUGAUUUCCAUUUAGACAAAUCAAAUUCAGUGUUAGCAGAUCUGAAAAUCUUUUAAGAGGACCUAUAUUGAUAUUAUCGGCAAUUCUGUGUAAAUUUUACAUUCUUUUAGGAUCCCAAAGUAGAUAAACUCUUAAAUAGUUGCACUAUAAAUACAACCUUUUGAACUUUAAUUUUUUUCUUGUAUUUAUUUAUUCAUCAAUUUUAUAACAAAUAUAUAUAUAUAUAUAUAUUUAAUGUUACUAGAUUGAUUUCCACAGAAUAAGUAAAAUAUUUAUUCUAGUAGGAAAUUUGAUUGUCAACCUACCAUUUGGGCUUGCAAAACCCACUUUUAUUUCAAAUGGAAAAAUAAAUGAAAAUCAAAAUACCAUUCCUGUAAAAUAUUAUAUCAACAUUUAAAACAAUAUGAAUGAAUACAUUUAAAAUUUAAUUACUACAGUUGUUAUAAUAAAUUAAGUAAUAAUCUGAACAUAAUGUUGAAACUUUUCAAAUCUAUGUGUGUUUAAUGUUUUAUUUACCUUGCCUGAAAGUGAUAUUAAUGCAAUAUUGAAAGUAUUUGUGAGUUUUCCUGUUAUUAAAUGUCUUUCUAAUGUCAGCAGACAGUUGUUCUUUUUUUAAUUGUUAUAAUUCUUGGUGGUAGUAUGCAGUUACAUUUGAUUUAUUCUAUUUCAUAUGGAUACUACAAAGUAGCACUUCUUUCCACUAGUUCAUUGUAAAACGUGAUGGAUUAGACUAGAGUUACAGCUUAGUUUAUUACUAUGUUGUCAUAACCAUAGGCUGGUUCCAAAGUGUAUUUCUCUUGAAACUUUUAUCUUCUCUGAGUUGUUUAUAUAUCCUUAUAAUCCUUACAAUAUACAGUCCUUAUAAUUUAAGAUGAAAUAUGUUAGCACAUCUCAUCAAAUUCAAAAGAAAAAGUGCAGCUUUUGUUGAGGAGACCCUAUACUUGACACAUCUUUCAUUCUGAAAAACUCAUGAUCUUGUGCUACUCUAUAAGCAGUUGGACAAAGUUCAUUCCAUCAUACACAAUCUAUGGUCUUCUUUAAAAGGAAGUUGAAUAGUAAAGACAUCUGGCUAAGCAUCACUGUACAAAGAGAAAUUUGUCUCCUAUUGCAGUUCUCUACCUAAAUCUGAGAUUUCACAGUCUUGAAAUAAGUGGGGUGGUUUUACAGCUAGUCACCAUGUAUGUUUCAAAACUAAGCAUGGUAUAGAAAUUCAGGUUCAUUAUAAUGAAUUGUUCCAUAUGAUGUAAAGUUUUCACAUAAAUUUUUUGUAAAGAGAAUAAAAUUAAAAAAUUAUCACAUGUAAUAUUUCACUGAGGGGUGUGCAGGAUGCAGCUAUAUCCCCCCUUCUAAGGAUUUUUCAUAAGUAUUUAAAGUAGUAAAAAAUUUUGAAAGAUGGUGUUUCCUUUCUACACCUCCACUAAAGAUUUCUGGAUCUGCUAUUGAUUACAUUCACUUUUCUUUCUUAGAAACAUUUUACAACUUUUUGAUAUACCACAUAUAUGUUAUGUUGUCAUAAAUAGCCAAAAUUUUUUACUUUUGGUUGGCAUAUAUUGCCCUGAAUGCAUUUGUUCAUGAAAUGUAGCUAAUUGAUUUUUAAAUGUUAUGCAACCAAUCUGGAUUAUAGCAUCUCUUAUUUCAAAACAUAUAUUUGCAGCUUGUCAUUACAGAAAUUUCCUUGUAUUUAAUAUUCCAGUCAGAUUAAUUUCAAAAAUUUUUUGGACUGUAGAAAAAAGUUUUUCGCUCCUUUUUCAAUUAUAUUUUUUUUCUUUGUCUGUUUAAGAGUUUCUUCCAAUAAAUUUCUUCAAAAAAAAAAAAAAA